AGAUACAAUCAUUGAUAUACAAAAACCCAAGAUGCACACUCAACGUCUAAAAAACGUCCUCAAAAAAUGAGCGCAACAUUCUAAAUUGUGCGCUCAUUUCAAAUAGUCUCGCGUCGCUCGCGUCUGGGAGCAGACGUUAAAAAUGUGAAAGUGUUCUCUGAGAAAUUAUUGUAAAAAUAUUACGUCAAGAAGGCUUAAAAAGGAUAGGAUAUCGUAUUUUCGAUUGAAAUACCGGAUGAUGGCGGUGAUACUGAAGUGUGUCCUACGAGUUCAAUGUUUAAUUUAGAAAUUGAAAAGAAAUUCAAAUCUCCUACCACUUCUCUAAGCACGGGGUCAGUUUUGGAUACACCUCGAAAAGUUCGUAUAAAAAGCGAACUUCACAAAUGUCGCAAAAGGUUAAUGGUUAAUUAGCAAAGAAAUAUUCAUUAAAAACUUAAGGAAAAAGAAUUCUAGGCUUGUUAAAAAGACUAUUUCACUAAAGAAUGCGUUAAAUGUUUUAACGAAAAGGUUUAAAUCGUUUUGAACCAAAUAUUUGAAUAAACAAUUUUAACAGUUA